rnacentral:rRNA from 1 species
GACGAACGCUGGCGGCGUGCUUAACACAUGCAAGUCGAACGGAAAGGCCCUGCUUUUGUGGGGUGCUCGAGUGGCGAACGGGUGAGUAACACGUGAGUAACCUGCCCUUGACUUUGGGAUAACUUCAGGAAACUGGGGCUAAUACCGGAUAGGAGCUCCUGCUGCAUGGUGGGGGUUGGAAAGUUUCGGCGGUUGGGGAUGGACUCGCGGCUUAUCAGCUUGUUGGUGGGGUAGUGGCUUACCAAGGCUUUGACGGGUAGCCGGCCUGAGAGGGUGACCGGCCACAUUGGGACUGAGAUACGGCCCAGACUCCUAAGGGAGGCAAGAGUGGGGAAUAUUGCACCAUGGGCGGAAGCCUGAUGCCGCCACGCCGCGUGCGGGAUGACGGCCUUCGGGUUGUAAACCGCUUUCGCCUGUGACGAAGCGUGAGUGACGGUAAUGGGUAAAGAAGUACCGGCUAACUACGUG